CAAAUAGUAACCAGAGCGAAAAACACACAAUAUACAUAUAUUAUAAGCCUGAAUUCAAAUUUCCUUGAUUUCCUGGUUACUGGUUUUUGGUCCGUUUCACAUAUGCUACGGAUUGCUCAAAAGGAUGAUUCUCAGAAAGGAAGGACACUCACACGCGCGCCGAACGCUGAUGGCUGGCUAAUUGCGGACUUUGCUAAAAUUAAUUUCCCAGCUUCUAAUAAUGUUACCCGAAGGGACCGGGUAAACGUAAACGGGUUGCGGCAAAUGAAAUCACGCGCAGAGGGUGAGGCAACUUGUUGUCGCACGUGUUCAACGCGGCGUAUGCGUAAUCUGUUUGGGUUACACCUGCUGACGGGGGCGAGCCUCAAUUUGUUUCAGGCCUCACCGUUGUUUCUUUCCAUUGGCGUUCGUCAUCGGCCAUCUAGGAUCUAUUUAUAGGGUGAAAGCACCCGAUGAGCGGCUGCCGAUGGGUCACUAAUCGCCGUAAUUAUCCUUUACGAAGCACAAACUUAUUAAUUAAAUUUCGUUCGCUAUUUUGCCAGCA